CCAGAAGGAGUCAGAUGCAUGCAUUCUGCUUCCUAGGAACGAAAAAGAUGGAUUUGAUGUCGUGAAAUGGCAAUUCUAAAACUCAGGAGAUAUGUUGGUGUUUCUGAGCUCUUACUCCAGUGUCCACUUGUCCAUAGAAUCACCUUUCACUUCUGGGGUCAGAGGGACAGCUCCUGGAAUGAUCUCUCAUCUUACGGCAAAAAGGUAAGAGAACUUGGCUGGGCACAGUGGAUCACUCAUGUGAUUCAAGC
rnacentral:lncRNA from 1 species